rnacentral:lncRNA from 1 species
CUUAAUUGAGUCAAUUUAUCCUAAUAAAAUACUGGGUUUCCAAUCUAACAUUCCGUUUUCUUAUGUCCAAAUUAAGAUAAUCAAUCAUGCAUGCAACUUAAUAUUAUACCAAAAAUGGCAACCCUGAUGGGGGAGGAAGAGAUCAUCUGCGAGAGAGAAGGACUGAUGUUUCAACGAGAGAGAGAGAGAGAGAGAGGUUCUGUCUAAUGUGAAUCUUUGGUAAAAAAAAAAAAAUUAAUUCUGUUUGUCACAUUCUUUGCACACAACUGACAUGUCCAUGGAGCUCAUGGCCAUUCAGUAUAAUAUUAAGUUAUAUGCAUGCUUGAUUCAGUUAAUUUGAACAAAAAAAAGUUAACAAAAAUGAUAGAUUGGAAACUUAGUCAUUUUAGAAGGAUAAAAUUGACUCAAUUCGGGAUAUAAGGACAUAUUGGAGACUCACUCCAUUAUACAAGGACAGACUGAGCCAUUCCACCAGAAUCAAACAUUAAAAAGCAGGGAUCAGUUCUUCUCCAACUUCUCAACUACCAUGCAAGGUCUAUUUCUCAUACAUAACUCCACUGGUAUUUAUGGAAAUGUCAAUUAGUUGCAAAGAAGGGAUCUGCAGAACCAUAGUAAUCAGGCAAAUGCUGACUGGAUGAUUGGAGAUUCAGGAACCACACCUCAUGCUCACAGUUUGUGAAAGUGGAAUUGACCCGUUUGAAGGAAUUUCUUGAGGCUAUUGAAAUUGACACGAGUAGAGAUAUUCUAAUAUUACUUUUAAGUCAAUUUUCACUUUAUGCAACCAGGGUAGUAAUGACAAUUUAAGGAUUUAAUUGUUGGAAUUGCAAGAUGUAAGACCCUUUCAGCAAAACCUAAACCUAAUUGAACAUGCAAAAAACAUGAUGGUCCAUGUAUGGGCAUGGCUGUUUCAACUUCAAAAACAUCACUAUAUUCGAAUAUCAUUAACACGAUUACUAGAACAAAGUUAUGCUGAGAUUUACAGUUACCUUUCCAAGUAACUUAAGUUCUCGUCCAACAGGUUCCAUAAAUUUCAAGUCAAACUCAAUAGGCCAAACCUGUUAAAGGGAAAAAAAAACUAAUAAAUUAAACAGGUAAUUAUGAAAAAUAACCCCGAGAACUUUCAAGCAUUAGACAGUAAGAAAUUGCAGAAAUAAGUUCUGUUCGCCAGAUUGCUUUAUGCAAAUAAGCUGCGACACAGAGCAUGACUCAAACAUAAGAGAAGUUCCUCCAAUACAUUAUAAAAGGCCCAAGUCAACCGUAUAAACCUAAAAAAAUCCUAGAUUAUUCCAAUUCAAUUAUAUGAAUCACUAUUCGAAAUUGGAAUCGAUACCUGCUCACUCGUCACCAUUAAAAGCUCUAGGUAAUUUAACCUGGUUGAUUAACCUAUUAGUCCAGAGUUCGGACCAAAAACUAUUAAUUCCAAUUACAAGAAAGUUUAACAAAGGGAUUGUCGUCAAGUCACACUUCUAUACGUUGAGAAAACAAUUAGUUGAAUAAGAACAGUAGGUUGUAGAAAAAUCCCAGGAGAAGUAAGAGCUGAUGAACGAAAAAGGAAAGAAAGAACUUAAAAUCAAUGAAAAGGAAGAAGAAGACCUUAAGACCAAGUACACGAAAGGGUGUAAUCUGGCCAGGGACGAUACAAUCAGGACCAGCAGCUUCCACAAGCGCUUCAGUAGCUAAGCCAGUUCCAAUGGGAUUAGGGUGCUUCAUGACAGAGAGGGCAUAAUCGCAAAAUGGGUUUUGAGAGACGCGGAGAAUAGGAGAGUGGUGAAUUUUGGGAAUGGGUUUUGAAGUGGAUACUCUCCAUGGGACAUCCUUUUGAAGCCCAGGGGUUGUUCCACCUUUUUUUGACAUACCUCUCUAAUACUUGCACUUCCAAUUAGGGUUUUUUUAACUGAUGAUUGAAUAAAUGCAAGAUAUUGAAAGAGGAGGAGAUUACUAUGCCAAGGAAGAAGCAAACGUAAGGUUAGGAAGGGAAGAUAGGCUUCAUAGAUGGAUAGAUGAGGUUAGAUGAGAUGAGAUGGGGGGAAGGGAGGUGGGUGCAAUGGCCAGAUAAAAUGAAAUUGGUUUAGACAUAAAAAACAAUAAUCUUGUUUUUCAAGUUAUUAAAUUUUGUGGCUUGUUUUUUCUUUCUUUCUUUUUUUUUUUUAUAAAAAAAAAGAAAACAAAAAAAAAAUCUAUUUUUCGUUCUAGUGAACAUAUCUGAAAAAAUUAUAAGGAAAAACUGAUUGAAUGCAAAUUUAAUAGGCUUAUCAAGAGAAACCAAAAAUCAUUCCUCAACACCACCGUAGCAAAACCUAGCCAUCAAGUGCCCACCUGUACUAACACCGCUACCAAGAUGCUUCCAAGAACACCAAGAAAAACCAUUUUUGGAGACCCACACGCUAUGAAAUGCGACAGGGCUCACAAGCCUGUUUUUUUUUUUUUUCUCCCUUCGUUGAUUUUGGUCCUUGAUUGUAUCUUGAGUCCUAAAUUUCAUCCCCCUUGGAUCCAAACCCUUUUCUUUCUAUUAAGUCUCUAAUUAUCUAAUAAAUUUUCAAUUUAGACUCAAAUACAAUCCAAUGUAAGGAUAAUUGAAGGCACAAUCGGGGAGACAUAAAGGGAAUGAGAAAGAAAAUGAUAGUUGACUAAGUAUUCUGAUCGUGCCCACGAUCCAAAUUAUGAUUUAGCUCAACGCAGGUUGGCUAAGGGUGCUUUUAUAUGUUUUUGCCUCAAAAUUAAACAAAAAAUAUGCCAUGUUGAUUCUUUUUUUUUUAAAGCCAAGCCACUUUUCAUUAGUCAUCUUGGUUGCUUUUGACUAAUCAAAUUGAUUUGGUCAUGUCAUGAUAACUCUCACCCGAUUAGUUUGAAGUUUGGGCUAUGAAAAUCAUCGGGUUGAGAUGGUUCAUGUACCCUGCUUUUAAUAUAUUUUCACAAUAAACAUUCAAGAUUGAUUUAUAAAAAACAGUAAUUUUUUUUUAUCUCAACAAGUCAUGUUUCAAUUGUUGUUAAUCAUUUAAGAUUGAUAUAUCCUCUACUGAAGUUUUUGUCAAAAUUUCUGCAGAUUUUUCUUUAUAUAUGGGGUGUCAUAAUCCAAUGUUGGGUUUCCCAAAAAAAAAUCAUUCCUUUUCUUUUUAAAAAAUAAAAAAUGAAAAAGGAGCAACAAUUUGAUUAGCAAAGAUAAGUUAAAGGAAUUUGGGUGCAAAAUUGGAAGCUCAGUCGCACUCUUGAAGGACCCGAAUGUGAAGAACAAUGUGAGCCAUCAAAUUUGAUCACGACUUGAUCCAUGCACUAAUUGAGCAAUGGAUACGUGAGAUACACACAUUCCAUCUUAGGCAUGGGGAGAUGACACCGAUACUAUAGGACAUUGCAAUUUUGUUUGAACUUCCUAUUGAUGGACAAGUAGUCACAUCUACUAGCGUGCAUAAUCAAAUUGCAUUGUGUAAGCAUGUAUUUAGAGUGGCACCCUCUCCUUCUAAAAAUUGAAGAGGGUGACAUGCGUCUUAAAUGGAAUAAUUAAUAAGAUAUUUACCACACUACUAGAUGAUUAUAACGACGAGGUCUUGCAGAGAUAUCUAUUAAAUUAUGAUUUGAAUGUGUUGAUUAUUUGUUAAGUAUAUGUGAAUUAGUAUGAUAAUUUUAAUGUGUUAUUUAGGUAUGCUAGGUCAUAUAUAUUACAUCUAUUUGACAGUGUAUUAUUAUUUACAGACUUUCACGGAGAGAUAUAUGCUUUUAAUUUAUAUAACGUUUCUGAAUGAUUUUAAUGUCAUUCCUACCUAUAACUGGGAAUCUUUUCUAUUGGCAUGUUUGUACAUACAUUAAUGUCUUGCAUGCAUGAAAGGGGGCCAAAUAGGUUGGGGGAUGUUUUCUACUUCUAUAUGUAUGAAUCAAAGAAUUUAAAAUAACUAUUUAAAUUUUAAAUAUUUGUUGUUAACAUAAAAUAAAUAACUCAUUUUUUUUUAAUUUAAUAACAAUUAUAGCCUUGGGAGCAUCUUCAUGUGGAUCGGUUCUAAAUGCCUAGAUUGCCACUUAUGACUGUUCAAACUAUAGGGGUAACACUUUAGCUCCCACUAUGAUGCAUGUAUUGCAAUGUUAUUUUGCAAUUAUAUGCAUUUAUGUUGUCUAAUUGUAACUUUAAAAAUACAAUUAAACUGACAUAUUUAUAAUGUUAGGUGGUGUGUUAGUAGAGUAUUUGAUAAUAAUCUAACACAUGUGUUGUUAUUUUAUCAUAAUAAGCUAGAUAGGCAGUAGCCUAUCCAGAUUUUUUUUGAACCAUUUGUUAAAAAAAAAAACUUAACUUCACCAAAUUAUUAUUGUUUAAUAUUUAAGAAAUUUAUUUUUUACAGGUCAUGUGAACGCCUUAUGUAUAAGUAGUAGUCUAUCUAGGUAUUUUUUUGAACCAUUUAUUAAAGAAAAAACUUAACUUCACCAAAUUAUUGUUGUUUAAUAUUUAAGAAAUUUAUCUUUUACAGAUCAUGUGGACGUCUUAUGAAUAUUAAAGACUGGCAGUUGCUUCGAUUAUUUGCACUCGCGAGAUGAAUAUAUGAACAUUGGUGGUCCUAUUUUUUUUUUGAGAUGGUUGUGCUACAUUGCCCAGAUCUGGUAAUGCGAUAAUUCGACUACAAAUAGCACAUUCCGGUCAAAAUCAAUACAAGUAAUGCAUUGCACGCCAUUAAUCAUCAGGGUAGAAACAAUAAUUACGACUGGCUAAGCCGUCAUGAAGCUUAUAUAUUACAAUAGGAUGCAUAGAGUAAUGAAAUAUUUACAGAGAUGCAUCUUGUGAUUAUAGAGAAGGAAUAUAUAAUUUGGUAUAUGAGUAUCACACAUCGGGUCAUUACACCGGAUCCCAGGUAGGUUCCUCCACCUACAUACAUAUAAUACGAGCAACAUGUUCAACGGAUUCAAAAUACUAUAAGUAAUCGAAUCUUUUUAGAAUUAAUAUAUGUUAAAAAGUUUAUUUUAUUUAUUGGUCUUUUAAUUUCACAUUAAUAUUUUAUCAAUAUUAGGUUGGCUUGUUUCCAUGAGAGGGUCGAGAGGCCAUAUCUGUGCUUUGUAAUAAUGAUGAAGAACACAGAGUAUAUGCCUAUGCAUCUUAGUGGUUCAAUGUUUGCCGCAAUGAACUUAAUAACUUUGAAGAGAGUUUAACUCUAAAGGAUAUGGUGAUGCAAAAUGAGGUCACUUAAGCAGGAGCAAGAGUAGAAUGUAGUCGUGCUAUUGAUGAACUCGAACUAUCUAGUAAAUGACAUAGACGUAGUUAGAUAGAUGAGUUAUGUUAACAUAUUUCAGGAUUUCAAUUGCUAGAACAUAUAUAUUUAAAUAUUUCAUAUUUCUUUUGCGUGUGUGUGUGUAUAUAUAUAUAUGUUUAUUUAUUUACAAAGAUUACAUGUAAUUAUAAAAUGUGAAAAUUUAUUGUGUUUAGUUAUUAUAAUUUUUUGCGGGUAUUUUUAAACAAGAUAAAAAUUUGAGAAUAAUUUUUAAAUAAAAAAAACUCUUAUCUAAUUUUUUUUUUGGGUUAAAUUUAUAGAAUUUUGUUACUGAAUUUUCUUGUUGUUGGAUUUAAUGGUUGGUAUACUAUCGUAUUUCUGAACCAAUAUGCACUUCAAUCGAUUCCUAUCUCCCUAGGGGGUACUCCCUUUUAAGCUUUAUAGAAUCCAGUCUCGUUACUAGGUGAAGUACGGUAGCAAGUCAUAUCAAUCUCCUCACACAACAGUCAAUUAAUCGUUAUGGUUUUAGAGAAUCUAACCCUGUAAAUUAAGAGACAAAAAUCGUCUCAUGAUCUCAUCGCUUCACGCCUGGUCCAGGUGUGGGAUUGUUCCCAUCUAAUAGCUAGCCCAGCCCUUCCGACAAAGAGUAGUAAGGCCUUCUCCUAGUGUCCAUGCUAAGCCACCAGGACGUCAGCCUAGCUACCAUGGAAAGCAUCAUAAGAAGAAGAUGUUAAUGACGAUAGAUGCAUUCGCCAUAGUUUUAGCAUUACGGCAAACCUGUGUCAAAUCUAGCCAGCACUGAAUCCUAUUUCGGCUAUUACUUCUCCAUUACUAUGCUCUCAUAAAACCGCACCAAUCACAGCUUCUUCGAAAAGACGUGUGAAAAGCGUCUCGACGCCUAAUCGAUAGCAGCUUGUACACAGAUUCCGAUAACAAUGGUGUAAUUCCUCCUCUAAGAACUGAUUCAAUGGCAUCGCUUACUCAUUCAAAUGCAAACAAGCCCUAUGCUUUACACAUGCUCUUCAAUGUGUCCUAGCUUGAAGGUAAUUUCUUACUUAUCAGAACAAGAAUACGCGGCGUCGAAAAAAAGAAAAAGAAAGGAAGAAUAGAGUCCAGAUUGGAAUGGGAUAUGGAUGGUUGCUAUAUAUCUAUAUGGAUUGACUCUCUCUCGAGGUUAUAAAGUUGCUGUGUUGUAGCGGACCCCUCUUUCCCUAGCUUUGCACACAAAACUGCCAUCGUUCUCCUCAGUGCUCUUGCCAUUUUUCAAAGGGUUCUCCCACAGGAUCGGUGAUUUUCAUGACUGUCCUGAUUCACCCUUACGGAAUGGCGCUCACUUCGGAUUAAUUACGCCCGUUGAGAUGUGUUAAAAAUACUGUAAACUGAUUAAAAAAUAUUCUUCUUUCACGUACUGUUUAGGCCGAAUACAUGCUCCUACCCUCUUCAGACUCAUUUUAUGGUGUCAUGUCAUGUGUCCUUACGUUUUAAAACUCUGAAAGCAAAACGAAAAAAAAAAAAAUCCAGGGCUGCUAUUUGAUAUUAUUUUUUAAAAUAUUAUUUUGUUUAAAAAUAUAUUAAAGUAAUAUUUUUAAAAUUUUAUUUUUAACAUUAACAAAAUACAAACAAAAAAAAUAAUUUUAAAAAAUAACAAAAUUUUAAUUCACCAAACAAUCCCUAAAUAUCCUAGGUUUAAUAGGACGAAUAAACAGAACCAUGACAAAUUAAAAGGGUAUUUAAGAAUAUUUUAAUGAUUGUUUUUCAAAGUGUAUUUUACUAAAAAAAUAUAUCAAAAUAAUAUUUUUUAUUUUUUAAAAAUUAUUUUUCACAUCAAUACAUUAAAAUAAUCUAAAAACACAAAAAAAAAAUUAAUUUAAAAUAAAUAAAUAAAUUUUCAAAUUUAUUAAAAAACAUUUACAUUUUAUAAACAAUGCUCCAAGAAUGAAAGUUUUUCUCCCAGCUUGAAAAGAGGGGUAAAAAACACUUGUCCACACCACGGCCAGGGCAUACACUGAUACAGUUUUCAUCCCUUCAUCCAUUAUUUGCUUAACACAGCAAGAAUAGAACUCAAAACCAAGUUACCAACCCUCUUUUUUAACGCCACUAAAUAAAAUAUACAUUAGCAUAAUAUAUUAUUAGAGUAUUCGAUGCAGUAGUUCCUGCACGGGGUAUCAUCACAAUUCACAAAGCUAGGCGUUCCGCUGUGCAAGACCAUCUCACUCGAAUACCUACUCCUAAAUAGUUCACCUGAAAAAGAGAUUCCCUACCAACCUUUUAUGACAAGCAGAUUCUUUGACAAAAAGGAAAAAAAAAAUCAAAAGAGAUGAUCACAAAUCAUUCUUCAUGCGCGCAGCAUAUUGCUAACAAAUUCCAUACAUUUUAAAUUACAACUAUGGCUGAUUUUUCUGACAUUUUUAAUGAUUGGAUCGAGAUGAAAAAAAAUAAGAUAGAAAAAAAAAUUAGAAAAAGAAUAAUAUCCUCGAGCACUUCCCUCGCCUGCCAUCCAUCCAUUUUUCGCAUGGACCAUGACCGUCUGACCCAGAGAAAUCAGUUAAACAGUGAUCAUAUCCUCCCCCCCUCUCUGUGCUGCCACAUCAGCCAGUCUCUUCCAUGUCAAUUCUCGCUGCUCUUCCACAUCUCUGGCCCUAGACUCUUUCUCUGCAUACUGCCUCUGACACACUUCAAAUAACUCCGUAUCCAUGUCUAAGAACAUUUUCCGAAUAUUAACAGAUAGUCCAUGAACUGCCUGGUUCCAGUGACUCUGGAUAUUCUUUUCCAACGCCUCAAAUAUAAUUGGUAAUACGACAGUUCGAUUCUGGGCAAUUAAAUCCACUAUGUGCUCAUUAUUCCACAAAAAAAGAGCUCGUUCAGCAACCUGCCAACAGAAAUUUACCUGAGCAAAGACUUCUAAAAUAAAAUACGCUAUUGCUAUUCCAAUAAAGUGACUAAAAUCAAUGUCAAGUACAUGUGUGGAGAGUAUCUGACAGGCUUCUCAACAAUUACAGAAGGCCAUCUGGAAAAAGAAAGAAGGCAAGCCAAAUAGAUGGGAACAAAUCUUGUGGCAACAAGGUCAAUUGCAGUACAGCUCAAAGAAUCCUUGACAAAAUGAAAGUUGAGGUUUAGUCUCAUGCAUCCACCACAUAACUUUGAUUUUACACUUUUUUUUUUAAAAAAAAAAAUGAAACUGGGUAAAUGGUUCUCAACCACAAACCAAAUUUCCAGCAGCAAUAUACAAAUAUGCAUUACUGAAUCAGCAGGUGCAAUCACCCUUGCUAAUUAUCUGGAACCUUUAAAGAGUCCAAGUGAAUGAUUUCACCACUAAAAUACAACAACCAAACAUUGGUUUAAAUAUCAAAUCCCAUGUGUAAUUUGGAAAUUAAAAACAAUAAAUUUUGGCAAACUAACUUUUUUUUUUUGCUUUUAUUGACAAACUAUUUUUGUUUUUUGGCUAAAAGAAAAUUCUGAAAAUGAACACAAGAACAAUCAAAAAGUGAAUUCAGACAGAAAAAGAAACAUGAUAUCAAAGGAAAUUAAGAAGCAACCCUGUGCGCUCCCAUCAGGGAAACACCAUAGCUACAAAUCAACAACUACCAUCGAUUGACUUCAUGAAGAAUUAAUCCCAAAGAAUAAAAUAUCUUGAACACACAGGAUCUUAAAAUACAAUUAUGGUGAAGCAAUAACUCGUGACUCAGCAAAUUCUCAAGAAACACUAGAACUGACCUAAAACUUCUACAAACGAGAAGCUUUCAAAAAAAAAAAAUUGAAACGAAAAGUUGAGAGUGGGAAGAUAGCAGCUCCAAAAUAAAACUUUUUUGGUUUUCACUUUCAUUAAUCAUGGCUAGCAGAUCGAAGGUGGAAAUCUUGUAAGCAAGAAGAGACAAAAAUGGACAACAGUCAUAAGCAUCAAGCAGCAUUCACUGCAAGAGAAUACAUGACAAAAAUGAUUUUUGCAACUCAGAUUUCAGAAACACACUAAGAGCAAGUGCUGAGAUGGAAGAAUAAGAACUUUAAAACUGCAGUUGAUGACCUUACAACAGAACUAGCUUUUGAUCCAAUUCAGUUCAGAAGAAACAGGAACAACAACACGCAACCUCAUGGGUACAGUUAGUAAUCACAUUAACCCACAUAUUUCCUUUUUUAAAAUUAAAUAAAUAAAAUUGUCAAGUCUACUUUCUCCAUGAUUGCAAGGGAAACAAGAAAGGGAUAAACCUAGUAUGAUCAUGAAAGGCAACUGGAGUUUAGAACAGUUGCAAAUAAUUCAUGGACAGUAAGAAGAACACACAUGGGCAAAGAAUACCACAGCCAUUAGAUAAAAUGAAGAAGAAAGUUUCCCAUGGAAAAUAAAAGGUAAAAGCUUCUGAUUUGUCCUUUCANNNNNNNNNNNNNNNNNNNNNNNNNNNNNNNNNNNNNNNNNNNNNNNNNNNNNNNNNNNNNNNNNNNNNNNNNNNNNNNNNNNNNNNNNNNNNNNNNNNNNNNNNNNNNNNNNNNNNNNNNNNNNNNNNNNNNNNNNNNNNNNNNNNNNNNNNNNNNNNNNNNNNNNNNNNNNNNNNNNNNNNNNNNNNNNNNNNNNNNNNNNNNNNNNNNNNNNNNNNNNNNNNNNNNNNNNNNNNNNNNNNNNNNNNNNCAAGGGAAACAAGAAAGGGAUAAACCUAGUAUGAUCAUGAAAGGCAACUGGAGUUUAGAACAGUUGCAAAUAAUUCAUGGACAGUAAGAAGAACACACAUGGGCAAAGAAUACCACAGCCAUUAGAUAAAAUGAAGAAGAAAGUUUCCCAUGGAAAAUAAAAGGUAAAAGCUUCUGAUUUGUCCUUUCAAAUAGAAUGUAAGUAAUAUUACUAACAUUAAACACCUCACUAGCGACAUAAAAAUAAUAAGACAAUGGCGGGUCCAUGAUCAAGUUUCUAUAUGGGGAAAAGCAGUAGCCAACAAAGUGGAUUGCCAGUAAAUCUAGGUAUAAUACUGAUUCACCAAAGACCAGCAAAUGUUAUGACUGACAAGGGUACAAAUUAUAUGUAUAAUGCGAAAGUGAAAAUGUAGCAAGGAGAGGAAUUUUGCACGCAGAAAGAAACAAAAAAUAUAAAUAAAAAAGAAUAAGAAUAAAAGUUCAUCAUACACACAGAACAAGCAAUAGAUACAUCAUAAAAAAAACCAUUUAUCUCAAACAACCAAUGAAUUGCUCUCUUGGAAACAAAUGCACAUUUACCAUUUGGAAACACAUCCAAAGGCACGUUUGUACUAACUUAUCAAAAUUUAUAACAAAUAAAGUUUACGAGCUUAGCAAGUUGUAACAAUCACAAACCUGAAAAUGGGAGCUGGUAAGGCAACGUGCAAUCUGUCUUAAAAGAGGGACCAUACAACGCUGAAACUCUGCAGACUGUGUUGCCUCCAGCACUUCUUCAAGUUCUCCAAGGAAGAGAACUUCCUUUUGACAAUUAGUCACUGGCCAAUACUUCAAGAAACCCCUAAUAACCGUAUCAGCCAGCUUGUAAUCCUUUUCAACAAAUUGAAUGAUGCAAUAUGACAGCUGGUGGUGGUACACAGAUAUCUGCUUUGGUUUAUGCAAUGGUAUAAGCGCCCUUACAAGGAACAACUUAUGUUCCUCUUUCAUUGGCAGCGCAAACCCAUUUAUAAUACUCCCUAGAAUCUCCAACAGUUCCCCAAUCCCACUGUGCCUCUCAGUCUCGUAGAUAAACCGAUAGAAAAUAUUAUUUAUAGCCUUCCUAAUAAAAGGACGAUGCACCAUAAACUUGCCAUAAAUCCUAUGAAGAAUAGUCUUCAAAUACUCCCUCUCUCGCGGAUCCUCAGAAUCAAACAAAUCAAGCAACUUCAACACAAACGAAUGAUCAACAUACCUCUUGGCAACCUUGGUGUCUGUAUCGGACAUCACAACAUAUCUUAAAAGAAGCUCAUAAACAAGCUGCAAAUGAGGCCAAGAUGGUUCCAAAUAAGGCUCCUCCUCUUCAGGAUCAGUGGGUUCUUGCCCUGUAUUUUCAUGCGGAGGCAAGCACCGGAAUAUAUUCACUGAAACCAUUUUUAUCAUUUCCUCUUGACAAUUCUCAGUAAUCUUUCCCGAACCCGAUUGAAUAAAAUCCACAAGCUCCAAUAAAGUUUGCCUCUUGAUUUCCUUCUCUCGCAUCGAUUUUAAGGUAUCCGUAAAGUCAAAAUGGAAGCAGCAUAGCUGGAGUUUCCGUAAGAACAGGUUCGGACGUUCAGAAACCGGCACAUCCCGGAAGAAAGGGAGAGGCUCCACCGUGUUCAUUGGCGGCGGAGUAAUGACUGUAGGCCCAUAGCGUGGGCUUGGAGGGCCAGGAGCAGCCCGGGACGAAUGGUUAACCACCACAUUGUUUGCGGGACCAGACCCGGAGUUCGGUGGUGGCCCGAACCCGAAAUCAUUAUCGUCUGAUUUAGAGGGCUUCCGAUGCCCUCCUUUCAUGAUUUUCCUCAACAUUAGUCAAUUCAAAUAACAGCAACAGACCCUAACCCUAAAAAAAAUUGCGAUUGAUUAAUUAGGGUGGAACAACCAGGCGGUGGUGAUUCAAAAUUUUGAUGGACCAGUGAACAGGGAAUAAUAACCCAUAAGAGUGAAUCAAAUGUUUGAUCCAGUCAUUAAAAAUCAUUUAAGCAACAAGCAAAAAAAGAGGAUUAAUUGUAUCUGAGCUAGGGAUUUGAAAUGAAUUGUACCGGAUUGAGAAACGAACCGCAGAGAGAUUUGACCGGAGGCGAAACCUAAAGAGGAGUCAUUUGAACUGAUGGAUGAAAUGCUGGUCAGUUCAUCGGACGGAGGCGAUUGAUCCGAUAGAGAGACAGCGAGACAGAGAGAUAUGUCUAGAAGAGAGAGGAAGAGUGUGUGAAGACAGUAGAGGAUAAUUAAGAAAACGAAAUAAAAUUAAAGAAGUGACGAAAGAAUCAUACUAUCAUAGUAUCAGUAUGGACGGAUUUUAUUACAUAUUAUUUGGCAACUAAUUAAUAAAAAGGAAACCUCUUUAUAUCUGUUAUAUAUAUAUAUAUAUAAAAGGGGACAAGAGCAGUGUAGUUGGUUGUUAUAAACGUGGCUUAUAAGCCAAGGGUUGACUGAGUCAGGUAUGGAGCAACUACUGUUUUAUUUUAAAAAACAUUAUUACACUAAAGGUUUUCAAUUUUAAAUAGGAAAUAAAAUUUUGAUAUUCGUAACUUAAUUUAAUUAAUAUUUCUUUAGGUAUGAUUAAUAAAUUUUGACCCAUUUAAAAUGGUAUCAAACAUAGCAUAUAAUAAUGUAAAUGAUAUUUAACAGUGUAAUAAUAAUUGUUUUUUAAAAAUUCAUAUUUUUUUUAAAAAAAUUUGACAUCAUAUUAAAAUAAUAUAAAAACAUAAAAAUAUUCAUUUUUUUUUAUAGAAAAACACAGCUUUAGUGCUUAUCAUCAACGCAUUUGAUAACCAGUAAUGACGCAUCAGUGGUUGAUUUAUUUAGUUUUUAUUUUUAUUUUAUUUUUCAUGAUAUUGUUAAAUUGAAAUUAGAUAUUUGAAAAAAAACUAAUUAAAUUAAGACUUAAAUCAACAAGGGCCUUUUUUUUUUCUUUUUUUUGGGUCACAAGGAUAUCACAGCAGCAAAAAGCUUGGCAUUAACUUGGAAGAGAGCAGAUAUCACAGCAGCAAAAAGCUUGGCAACACCAGCGGUAUCAAUUAAGACUUGGUUCUAUUUAACAAACUGAGCUUACACCAGCGGCCACAAUGGUUAUGUGUUGUGGUGCAAGCUAAAUCCUCCGUUGUUCUUCUUUUUUUUAACUUGAAAUGCUAACAAGAGUCCAAAUCCAACCAAAUAUCAUGUAUUAUGUUAAUCUAUCUAUGAACUGAUGUUGACCAUUGCAGGGGAAGUGGCAUGGUGUCAUUUCUGCAACGAGCUAGCUACUGAUGACCUCCUCUGGCUUCGCACUUUCUCUCCUCUUUUGUAAUUCCAGAUGAACCUGUAACAUUCUCGGCACCCUCGGCUUCAUCUCUGAAUUUCUUAUAGAUAUCACCUUUGUAGAAUUUUCUGGUCCUUAGGGUCAAAAUAAACGAAGCAAAGCUUCCAAACAAUGUCGCUGCAGUAAUUAUUAUAGAAGACAUUCUGUAACACUGCACACCGUUGCAUGUCAAGUCCUCGCCUGCGUUCCUUUUAAGACCCAAGGCCUUCAUUUGCUUUGAUGCUUCUUUAUCAUACAAGUCACCAGCAAUUACCACAUUAAGAAUGUACGAACCAACAGGGCUAGCAACAGCACCAAAAUUGUACAACGUGGAAUAGUACUUGAGGCCAAAAAUCUCAGAUAUGAUGGCAUACAUUAAUGGCCACUGUGCUCCAAAGCAGAACCCGAGGAUUACUGAUGCGAAGUAGAGAGAAUUUGAAGAAGGGAAGGCAAUUAGAAUAUGGCCAGCACAAGUGAAGAGAAGCACAAUCGAAAGCAAUAGAGGACGAGGGAUCUUGUACUUCUUCAGCAAGAUCUCUGAGGCGAAACCAGACACUACUCGACCAAGAUAGUUCCAUAUGCUAACAAGUGACACAAAGGUAGUGAUACUACGACUCGGAUAGCCUAGUGAAUGGCCAAUCUGACCCAAGUUGUCAACUGCAGUUAAUGUGCCUCCAAUGCCACAAGUUGCUGCAAUAAAGAGUACCAACAUGUCAAGGCUGAAAAGUGCUUGCAAUAUGGUGUAGUCUUCGCCCCUUUCUGGUGGCUUGAAAAUGUUUUCAAAGCAAGAAGUUUGCUUCUCUGCAGACGUUGCAGCAGGAUCAGAAGCAUUGGACGGUAAUGAUUCCGGUGGUUGUGUUGAUAGUGGCAAUUCUACUUCUGGUGGAUUUUCGGUCACAAUUUUCACUUGAGAAGGGUCACUGAAAACUACCUUUUUGCUCUUCCAGAUAUCAUAUUCCUCUUUUAUAGCAACAGCUACAGGGAGAAAAAGUAGGAUAAGAACAACAAUAGCACCUCCGAUAUACUCAAUCCUGGUAAACCUGAACUUGUUCUGUAUGAUGAUCAAAAUCAUGAGAAAACCGGCAAGGCCAAGCGAAAUAUAGAGGAGUUGGUAGAAAACUUUGAUCUCAUUUGCUUGGCGAACAAUCUUCAUGAUCCGAAUUGUGCGAAGAAGAAUGAAAGAAACAGCAGCUGGAAGCCAGGCAAUAAGCAAGAUAAAAGCCUUCGAGUCAUCUCCAUAGAAAGCAUGGUAAACUUGAAGCCAGGCAAUAAGCAAGAUAAAAGCCUUCGAGUCAUCUCCAUAGAAAGCAUGGUAAACUUGUGUCAUAAUUGCACCACUUAGACCAACAAACCCCUUCAACAAGCCUAAAACACUUCCUCUGCUUUCUGGGAAGUUCUUGACGCAGGUGACUAAAGCUCCAGUAGUGGCAAAUGUCUGUGAGUUUGCCCCAAUACAAAUAUAAAGACACAUCUGCCAAACUUUUGGCUUGGCAAUUUUGCCAGUAAUAGCAAGCCAAAUCAUGAAAUAACCGAAGAAAUUCAUGACCACUCCUGCAGAUAGAAUCACCCAUGGAGGUGAAACUUCAUUGAUGACCCCUGGCAGGAGUCCAACAUUUCCACCCACGUCCUUGAAGAAGCUUAGCAAAUUGAGCGUGGAUUGGUCAUAGCCUAACGACCUCUUGAUAUCAGUAGAGUAUAGACUAAACAUGUAGGUGGCACCAGACAUGGCCAUGAUCAAGAAUGAGGCAAAGACCAUGAACCACCGCCCCAAAAGAACUUGCAAGCCGAAUCUCUUCAUCUCUCUCCAACCACCACCACCACCACCACCAUCACUACUUCUAAAAUCAGCCCCCGCCAUUUGAAGAAAAAAACCUUUUUAGCUUGCUAUCUCUACCAAUGUUACAAUGUUAUUACUAAGGUUAUGAGGGAAUUAGUAGAGCUUAUAUAGUGAAGUGACAGUGAAAGUUUUGGUGGACAAAAGUUAGGUCUGAAGCCUGAACAAAGGAAUUUCAUAUUUACUUGGAAGUUGACCAGCACACUCGCUGUCUGGGAUUGCAGCUCAAACGAAAAUCGAUCAAAAUUUAAAUUUCUUUUAUAUAUUACGAAUGAUUUUUUUUAAAAAAUAUAUUAUUUUAAUAUGUUUCUAAAUAAAAAAUGCUUUAAAAAAUAAUUUUUAUCACAAAUUACGCACCCUUUAAAGAUGACAAAUAGAUAGGAGUUGGGUUUUUUGUAUUUUUGUAGCCUGCUGCGUGUGGAUAAAAACAGCAAAGUUACCAGCUGUUCAGGAUUCAAAUGGAGGUGGUUCAAAAAGUUGAAUUGAAACGCUCUAGCUGCCGGGGAAAUCUGUCGUUUCCAGAGAAAAGUGUAUGACAUGAGGUAUCCCAAGUUUUCUGAUUAGUUUUGAGCUCAUUAGCUGCGUCAUGCUGCCGACCUUAGCAUGAAACUGUACAUAUCUAUCUUUGAAAACUAAGCUGCUUACGCCAUACAUUUAAGAGCGUGCAAUUUCUUUCGGGAGCUUGCCUAAAACAGAGUAUUGAAACAAGUGGAAAUUAGUCAUCAAUUCGCCCAAGUAAAUAUAUACGUGGAGGUGAUGAUGGGUUCGAAUUAAGCAGUCAAUGGUCAUCUACCUCGUGUACAAGUUUGAAAGGAUAGCUGUGCCAUCAGCAAAACAUCUCCACGAUGAUUUCAUGGGAAUCAACUUCUAAUUGAAGUUCUUUCAACACUCGUAUUCCAAGCCUACUCUUAUCCAAUUUCAACAGCCGUCAGUUCAGUACAAUGUGUUAUCCAAGUAUGAUGUAGAGGAGACCAUGUUGAGAUUUUUUAUUUUAUUUCAUGUGUAUGUAUUUAGAGUUAAUUUUUUAAUUAUUAAGUUCAUGAUUUCACUAUAUAAUUAAUUUUUAAAUNNNNNNNNNNNNNNNNNNNNNNNNNNNNNNNNNNNNNNNNNNNNNNNNNNNNNNNNNNNNNNNNNNNNNNNNNNNNNNNNNNNNNNNNNNNNNNNNNNNNUCUCACUCUCCCGUUGCAGCGAGCUCUGCUUAAUGAACGUUUAAUUGUGAUUGAUGAGCAUCUUCAUUUCAUCGUCUAUAUGUUGGAAAUCCUUUUAUGUUUUAUUAUAACAUGAAAGAUGAUUAUUACAAAUAUUAUAAUUGUCUUUAGUUGCGAGCUUAGAUUGACCAUUAUAAUAAUUUAAUGAUAAUAAUGCCUUUCAGCAUGAAGAAUUAUUCAAAAAAAAUCUACAUAGAUCUCUCACGAGAAUACAAGAUUCAUAAAAAGCAUAGUUAGAAGAUGUGCAAGUUGAAGAUAUUAUUACGUGGAUUGAAACAAUUAUAAAGAGCAUGGUUUAAAAGGUUAACAAAAUUUAUUAUAGCCAUUAAUGAUAUGUUUAAAUUAGAUUAAGUUUCAACAUGUUUUAUAUAAAAAUUAUAUAAACAAACAUAUGAAAUUAAAUGAAAAAAUUCAUCAACAAGUCCAGGAAACAAAAUAAGUGAAGACUUGGUUAUUAAGGAUUCAUUUUAAAGCCUAUUAUUAAAUCUUUAUAUCUUACUCAAUAAGCAAACUAAAAUGAACUCACACACUUCACAUUGCAUGCAUAAAUAGAAUUGAUAUACAUUUAAUUGAUUCAAGUUUCACUAGGUAUGAAACUGGCAAAACUAGUUUUUAAGCUGAACCAAUCGACCAAUUUAACUAUUAGAGGCCUUCCAACAACUAUAAACAACUAGUUUCUUUUGGAUGUUUGUGUGUGUGUGUGUGUGUGUACACUUUUAUGCAAAAUAAGAGAGAUUUUGAAUAUACAUGAUAUAAAAUCUAUUCCAAAAGAAAAACCAACUAGAAACCAUCAAUCUUAGCAUACUUAAAGUUGUGCUAAAUUAAAUUUUUCUAUUUUAACACAAGAGUAUAAGAUCUCAUACUAAUUACACUUACACAUCUUUGCCGCAUUCGACAUCGCAACGACUUUUUAAAAAUUCAUUUCAUGAAAAAGAACAGAUUUUAUGACAUCUUGUUCUUAGAUAUAAAAGGUCUUGUUUAAGGAGUCACCACCUAGUAUUAUAGUCAUUAGGAACCCCAACUGGUCAACAAAGAUUUUAUAGUUCGAGACUGGUUACGCAAAAGGAAAUAUAUUAUCACUCAUUAAACGUUUUACCUGAGUUAAUGACGCGGGACAACAAACAAAAGAAAUAAAGCCGGGAAAAGAAAGAAGCCUAGAAGAAGAAGAAAGCCAAAGAAGAGAAGAGAGGAGAGUAAGGAGAUGCAAAAUCUGCAAUUUUCAUUAAUCAUCAAUAAUGUCAUGUCUCAAAAUGAUAGAACAUAUAAAUAGUAAACCUUAGGACAUCCCACUAUUGGGCUCGGCCCAUCAAAUUAAACUGUUUAACAUAAAUAAUAAAAUGACAAUGAGCAGGCCCAAAUGGGCUAAAUAAAUAAAAGUACAAUGAAAUAGGCCCAAAUGGACUUAGGCCUCCAACCAAAGCGUGAUGGGCUGGGCCAUCCCACGUCGCCUCCGUCCAUAUACUCGUGUAGUUUGUGGUGUGGGUCUGGUGUCCCCACCAACUCUCCCGGGGUUAGAGAAACUCGACCCUGUCGAGUGUAAUACUGGCCGACUCUGAUAGUACUCCCAAAGAUCUGGAUCAAGCUGCUGCAAAGUAUCUCUAGUAAUCCAAGUGCAAUCUGAGUCAGGGCGACCCACCCAACGAACUAGAAACCGUUGAACCUCGCCAUUCCUGUUAAAAACAACUUGUUCAUCCAAAAUAGCAUCAAUAUUAUCCUUUUGUGCUGAUGUCAAGGUGAAAGGGAUAGAGGUUUCAAUAGGAUCAUCAAGAGGGGAGUUAAGUGGUAUCUCAAAUGGAUCAUCUGGGAUAGGAAGUGGUUUGUGGUAGGCAACUAGAUCCUCAAUAUUAAAUGUAGAGCUAAUGCCAAAAUCAUGUGGUAAAUCAAGAACAUAAGCAUUUGGACCAAUUCGUUGUAGCACUUUGAAAGGCCCGGCACUGCGCGCAUGUAAUUUUCGAUUAGCUCCCGAAGGAAACCGCUCAGGUCUAACCCGUAUCAUAACAUAGUCUCCCACAUUAAACUCAUUAUGUCGUCUAUGUAAAUCAGCUUGAAGUUUAUAAUGCGCAUUACUUGAUUGAAUCUGUUUAGUGAUCUCAAUAUGCAAAUCCUGAAUUCUACGUGCAAAAGACUCGGCUGACUCAGACACUUUAGCAUGAAGGGACAUAGGAAGAAGGUCUAAAGGUUUCCUAGGCUUGUAACCAUGUACAACUUCAAAGGGACUCAUGCCUAUUGACCUAUUGAUAGAGCUAUUAUAGGCAAACUGGGCCGUAGGAAGAAUCAGAUCCCAAUUCCGAUUAUGAUCAUUCACUAGACACCUUAAAAGGUUGCCCAAACUCCUGUUAACCACCUCAGUUUGACCAUCAGUUUGGGGGUGGUAAGCAGUAGAAAACUUCAAUUUAGUGCCCACCAUAUGCCAAAGGGUUUUCCAGAAAUAGCUUGUGAAUCUAACAUCCCUAUCCGACACUAUGGUUUGAGGAAGACCAUACAACUUGACAAUCUCGUCAAAAUAGAGUUUUGCAACUUUGGAGGCAUCUGUGGUCUUAGUACAAGGAAUAAAAUGGGCCAUCUUAGAGAAGCGGUCGACAACCACAAAAAUAGAAUCAUGUUUCUUCACAGUACGUGGAAGCCCAAGCACAAAAUCCAUGCUCACAUCUUGCCAAGGGCAAGUAGGAACGGGCAAUGGGGUGUAAAGACCAGUAUUUUGUUUCCUAUGCUUAGCGAGUUGGCAAGUUCGACAUUGACCUAUCAAUUUGGCGACAUCUCUCUUCAAGCUAGACCAAAAAAAUUGGCGUUCCACUUCUUCAAUGGUUUUAUUCCUUCCAAAAUGUCCUAAGAGACCUCCAGCAUGAAUCUCCCAUAUCAAAAAGUCACGCACAGAUGUUUUCGGGAUACAAAGCUUAUUAUCCCGAAAUAAGUACCCAUCUUGGAGGUGAUAACCAUUUAUAGCACGAUGACUCUCAUCCUUCAAUGUCAAGUAUAUUUCUCCAAAUUCUGAGCAAGAUUCAUACUCCUCUUUGAGUCUUUCAAAUCCUGUGACUUCAACACUCAUUACGGAUAACAGCGUUACCCGACGACUCAAAGCAUCUGCAGCCUUAUUCUCUAUUCCAGAUUUAUGUUUCAAAACAAAUGAGUAUGCCUGCAAAUAUUCAACCCAAUGACCAUGCCUAUGAUUAAGCUUCUUUUGGGAGUUAAGAUAGCGGAGGGCCUCAUGGUCGGAGUAAAGAACAAACUCCUGUGGUAGCAAGUAAUGGCGCCAAUAACGCAAGGCCUGAACCACCGCAUAAAACUCCUUAUCAUAAGUUGAGUACUUUUGUUUUGCCUCAUUAAGCUUCUCACUAAAGUAGGCUACAGGGUGACGUUCCUGACUAAGUACUCCACCUAUACCGACUCCCGAAGCAUCACAUUCUACUUCAAACACUUUAGUAAAAUCAGGUAGCCGCAUUACUGGGGCCUCCGUCAUUUUCUUCUUAACCUCCUCAAAUGCCCUAUUAGCUCCUUUACUCCACUUAAACUCACCUUGUUUCAAACAAUCUGUAAUAGGUGACAUGAUGGUGCUAAAUCCCUUAAUAAAACGACGAUAGAAAGUCGCAAGCCUAUGAAAACUACGAACCUCAUGAAUAGUCUUAGGCUCAGGCCAAUCUACUAUCGCUUGGACUUUCUGGGGGUCAGCAGAGACUCCUUUCCAUGACACUAUAAACCCUAAAAAGACCACUUGAUCUGUAAAGAAAGAACACUUUUUGACAUUUGCAAACAAACUGGCCUUUCUUAGGGUGGUACAAACUUGGAUAAGAUGAUCGAAAUGUUCUUCCUUGAUUUUGCUAUAAAUAAGAAUAUCAUCAAAGUAUACCACCAAGAACUUUCCCAUAAAUGGCCGAAGCACUUGUGUCAUUACUCUCAUAAAAGUGCUAGGUGCAUUGGAAAGGCCAAAAGGCAUGACUAACCAUUCAUAUAAACCAUCUUUAGUCUUAAAGGCUGUUUUCCAUUCAUCGCCCGGACGGAUCCUAAUCUGAUGAUACCCACUCUUCAAGUCAAUCUUAGAGAAGAGCUGGGCUCCUGCCAUCAUAUCUAGCAUGUCAUCCAAUCGAGGAAUUGGAAAACGAUACUUGAUUGUAAUCCUAUUGAUGGCUCGACUGUCAACACACAUUCUCCACGAUCCAUCUUUCUUGGGUGUUAACAGUGCAGGUACCGCACAAGGGCUCAAACUCUCGCGUAUAAAUCCCUUGUGUAACAACUCACCUAUUUGUCUUUGCAAUUCAGCAUGUUCACUCGGGUUCAUCCUAUAGUGAGGCAAGUUUGGUAGUGUGGCCCCAGGGACAAAAUCUAUGGCAUGUUGAACAUCACGCAUAGGGGGUAAAACAUCAGGUAGUUCAGAAGGGAAAACAUCUAGAAAUUCUUUCAACACUUCUCUUACCUCUUCAGGGGGCUCCUCUAAAAAGUCUUCUACAAUCUCUUUAGCCACUACAGCAAACACAACAGCCUCCUCACAAAUCUCCUUAUCAAACUCCCUAGGACUUAUUAUGUUAAGCCCUCCUUCUCUCACUUUAUUCUUCUUCUGACUAUUAUCAUUAGGCCUUGGAGGUAACCCAAUAAGUUGGAUUUUUUUACCUUGAAAAGUGAAUGAGCAAGAAUUUGAUCGUCCAAAGAUUGUAACGUCCAAAUCAUACAACCAAGGCCUACCCAAAAUGACGUGCCCUACGUCCAUGGGGAUGACAUCACACCAAAUUUCAUCAUGAUAAUCAAAAAUCUUAAUGGGAAAAAGACAUCUCUCUUUGACCGCUAUAGCUGUAUCAUUAACCCAAGACACACUAUAGGGUUUAGGGUGUGGAACAGACUUUAAGCCCAAGCGGGAUACACUACUCAAGGAAACUGCAUUGAUACAACUACCACUGUCUAUGAUGAUCUUACACCCUUUAUCUCCACAUUUAAUGUAAGUGUAAAAAAUAGCAGUCCUUCUCCAAUCCUCAGUUCCUUUAGGUUGUGUUAAAGCACAUCUAACCACACCUAACCUAGUUGUCUUGAUUUGAGUGGAUAUAGACCUAACACAACCUAGUAAGUUAGACUCAUCAUCCUCGUCAUUUAGAUCUUGAAAAUCAUCGGGAUUGGGCUCAUAUAUCUUAUCAUCACAGUUAUCUUCUUCGCCCAUAGCCUCUUGCUCUUUGAUGAACAAAGUCUUAUUAGGGCAGCUAGAGGAGAUAUGGCCAAAACCCUAACACUUCAAACACUGAAUUCUGGAAGUUUUAGGUGCUUCAUGAAAAAUACCCUUACCCUUGUCUUCUUUAGGUAUUUGGGAAAUCAAAGGAUUGGGCUUACGAGGUGGGGCACCUAAUAUGGAGUUAUUACUACCAGGUUGAGACCUAUAAGGGGUAUUACGAGUGUCCUGACGUCUUGUCCACUGACUUUUUGUGACCAAGUCAUAAUUUUGUACUAAGGUAUAAGCCUCGUCAAGGGUGGAAACACCCCUAAGCACGAGCUCUCUCCUAAGGUCAUCAUUUAAACCUUUUCGAAAUCUACUCAGAGUCAUCACUUCAUCCUCCCUAACUGCACACUUCAUCCUAUACUCGUCAAAUUGUGCCACAUAGUCAUUAGCAGACUUGCCUCCUUGCCUCAAGUUAUUCCACUGGUCCAAAAGAUUUCCUCUAUAAGAACGAGGCAAGUACUUUUCUUCUAAUUUAGUCUUCAUUUCAACCCAGUCAGUAAUAGGGGGUUGACCUCUCCUAUUCAAAGACUCUUCUACACUUUCCCAAUAGAGCUGAGCGGUCCCACUAAGUUUCAUCUUCGCAAAUCUUACCCUUCUAUUCUCAGACAGAUUAUACCAGCUAAAGAAUUGAUCCAUGUCACGGAUCCAUCUAUCAAAAAUCCACGGGUCAAGUUGACCCUCAAAAGUUGGGGCUUCCACCUUGAUGUGCCUCAUGACGCGCUCAUCAGGGUCAUCAUAGUCUUGAUGGCCCUGAUUGCGGUUGUAUUGACGGUUCCUAGGAUGAGCUGGUCUUUGACGAUAAUCAUUGGAACGCUCACUAUCCUGAGGGUCAUGAAAGUCAUUGUGGCCCUGGUGUUGGUUAUGGUGGCGGUUCCUACGAAGAACUGGUCUUUGAGGAUUUCUAUGGUUGUCACUAGAAUGCUCACUCUCACUAGACGGUCUUAUUUGUAAAGUUUCUAUGGACUCCACCCUCCCAGAAAGGUUGUUCAUUUGAUUGGACAAGUUGCUCAUUUCCGUUCGCAUAAGUUGUAAUUGUUCUUGAAUAUCUCUAAGAACAUUACUGGAGUUCGGGUCCAUGGUAGUUGUGACUUCUAGAUUGUGUACUAGACGACCACUACGUAAAUGCAUGCAAAACUAAUCCUAAAACUGAGAUCACCAACUAACACUUGCAAGUAAAACGCAAAAUAAAAUUAUAGCUAGUACCAUAGAAAAUAAAAAAAUAAAAAGAAAAAUAAAAUAAAAAUAAAAAUAAAAAUUAGAAUAAAGAAAAUAAUUUUUUUUUUAUUUUUUUUUAAUUAACUUGGAGACUAAGUAAUGACAGAUUAAACCAGAAAAAUGCGCAAGCAAGCAGUGUAAGUCCUCUAAAUGCACACAAAUAAUCCCAACACAAUGUUUCAGUUUUCCCACUAAUUUACUCAAGCUCCACAAUUAAUCAAGAGGAUCAAAUCUUCAAUGCUAAACCAGCUCAAAAUUAAGGUAAUUUAAUUUAGUUAUGGGCAAGCACAAAAAAUAAUAUUAAUGCUAAAUCUUGGUUAACAAGUGUUAAAAAAAACAUACCAGGAAUGAUGAUUUUCAAUGGGUAAAAAUUCUGACCGUAUGAUGUGGCAGCGAAGGAUUACGUGGCAGCUGACGUGGCAGGAUAUACUGAUGGGGCAGAUGAUGUGGCAGGGGAAGCUGACGUGGUAGAGAUAAUGACGUGGCAGCGACGUGGCAAGAUCUGCUGACGUGUCAGGUGACACUGAUGCUGACGUGGCGCUGACGUGUCUAGGUUAAUUAUAUUCUCAGCUGUGGUUUUCUUUCUUUCUUCCUUGCUUCCCUAGCUUCUGUGACCCGUUGCCGCCGCUGUCGGUGAUGGCUCGCUCCGUGUUCUUGCUUGGGGCCAGCGGCGCGAGGGGAGGAGGUGGUGGUGUCUGGUGUUGCUGCUGGGCGGGGCUGUUGAUCCGGUGUCGCUGCUGGGCGUGGGUUGCUGCCGAAGGUGAGGGCGCUGUGGAUGGUGGGUCGCCGCUGGUGCUGUUGCUGGGGUGCGAUUGAUGGCGUUGCUGGUUAGCAACGCUGGAACCGACGACAGAGAGCUACGGUGGCUGCGGCGCUGCGGGUUGUUGAAGGCAGUAACUCGGCGUGGGCUUGCGAUCGAUGGCUGUGAUCGGUGUUGAGGACGACACUGGCGGAGGCGCUGCCUUUGCUGCUGUAAACCCGAACCGAUGUUGGCUGUGAUGGGUGUUGUGGGUAGCGGCGUCCAGUUUGAUGAUGGAGACGAUGAACAGUGUACAGUGAACAGUAGCUUCUUCUAAUCAGAACAAUAGGAUUUUUUUUUGUUUUUUUUUUUGUUGGAUCGUUUAAUUGUAAGAACAAUUAAAAGCCAUGCUCUGAUACCAAAUUUGACGCGGGACAACAAACAAAAGAAAUAAAGCCGGGAGAAGAAAGAAGCCUAGAAGAAGAAGAAAGCCAAAGAAGAGAAGAGAGGAGAGUAAGGAGAUGCAAAAUCUGCAAUUUUCAUUAAUCAUCAAUAAUGUCAUGUCUCAAAAUGAUAGAACAUAUAAAUAGUAAACCUUAGGACAUCCCACUAUUGGGCUCGGCCCAUCAAAUUAAACUGUUUAACAUAAAUAAUAAAAUGACAAUGAGCAGGCCCAAAUGGGCUAAAUAAAUAAAAGUACAAUGAAAUAGGCCCAAAUGGACUUAGGCCUCCAACCAAAGCGUGAUGGGCUGGGCCAUCCCACGUCGCCUCCGUCCAUAUACUCGUGUAGUUUGUGGUGUGGGUCUGGUGUCCCCACCAGUUAAGUUGCAUUGUUGGUUUUGUUUUAAAUUGUUAAGGGUUUGUUGUAUUAUACUACUGAUGGCUUGCAUGCAAUAUUUCUAACUCAAGCACCAGUGAAUAUUCAGCUGCGAAUACUUCCAACUCUGGUGUUGGUAAAUAUUACGUAACACAAAAAAAUGGUAUUCCUAACUUUAGCGCCAGUGAAUAAACCAAUAAAAUUUGAAUUGAAAGCAUAUCAUAUAUAUAAUUUUUGUUAUUUCUUUAUAUAUAUAUAUAUAAAAGACAUGUAUGUAUCAUAUACUAUAUUCACAUUUCACAAUCAAAAUCAAAAUCCACAAAUCAAAUAUACAGUGAAAUCAUCGAGGGAAAAAAAGCGCGAGGAACCUACAAAUAAAUUCAAAAGAGUCCACAAUUUUUUUUGAAAUUUUCUAAUAUCAUGAAGGAACUCAUUUAGACAAAUAUCAAAACAAGAAACAAUAAAAUAAAGGGAAUCACAUAAGGGUGUGUUUUACUAAACACACCCAAGACCCAAAACAAAUUGGAGCUGGUUGGACUUGAGGCUUAGGCCUAUUCUCUAUUUUUUUGGGGGUUGGGUAGCCCAACCAUAUAGGCUGGGCUGGAUUCAUCCAGGCUAGCCUAGUUACUGGCCAAAGCUAGUGACCCGGCUAGGCAAAGUAGCACGCAUGCUUGUUGCACAGUCCGAACGUAAUUAAUUACCUUCGCACAAUGUAAUGCAGAUAUAGAAGAAAGCGGGGAAGAGAUGAAAAACUUACCCUGGUCUGGAGGCGAAAGGGAUGAAGACGAUGGCAACGGUGCGAUGACUGUCCAAUGUUCCCUGCUUCUGUUUUUCGUUCACUUCUCAUUUGUUCUCUCUUUUGGUCUCUUUUUUUUUUUGCUUUAUCUUAUUCUCUCUAUUCUUCCUUCCUUGUGUUUUUCUUUCUGUUAGUUUUUUCGUUUUCUCGUUCUCAGUUUUUUGUGUCCCUCCCCUGUGUUUUCUUUGUUAGUUCCUCUGGUUUUCUCUCCUCCCAGUAUCCUCUGUUCGUUCUCUGGUUUUCUCUCUGUUUGCUCAUCUUCUCUCUCCCCUGUUUUUCCCUUCCUUUUCUCCUUCACGUCCCCGUGUUUCUUUUUUAGUCCCCUGUUUCAUUACAGUAACUUUAUAAUGAUCUUUUUCCAAAUGUUGCAUUUAUUAAUAAUAACGGGCGACAAGCAUUGUUGGAUCCAGCAAUUUGCAGAUAAAAAGAGAUAAAGGGUCGAGAAAACCUAUUACCUUUUUUAUGAAUAAUAUAAAUUUUAUAUUGGUAUUUUACUUAAUAAUUUAAAAUUUUAAAUUGAGAUGAUUUUUUGAUAUAAUAUUAGAGUUUUAAUGAUCAAGUGAUCACGAGUUUGAAUUACAUAAUCUCUAUUUAUUUGAUAAAAAAAUAAAUAUCAAAUAAUAUAGAUCUUAGUAAAUUUCAAGUUCAAAGAACUUUCAACUGAAGAGAUAUUUUGAAGAACAAUAUAAAUCAUAUAUUGACUUCACCUUACAUCUUAUUAUUUUUUUAAGUUGAGAUGAUUCUUUAACAUGCAGAAUAUCUAGAUUUGUAUUAAAUGAUCUGGGUUUAGUUUAGGGUUUAGUUUAAGUCGUCCAUUUAAAAAAAAUAUUUUUACUUUUAUCAAUUUAUUUAAUCUUUUGAUAUUCUAAAAUAUUGUUUUUCAAAUAAAAUUAAUGAUUAAAAUGUUUUCUUAAGAACCACACGAUAAUAUCAUACAUUCAACUAAGAUUACAUGUUUGUUAUGUUAAUAAUAUUAGUGGUUAUUUUCAAAUAAUUAAUGAUUUAUGAAGCUGAUGUAUAUAAUUUUUUUUUAAAAAAAAGGAAUAGUCUCUUGAAUAUUCAUUAGUCUUUAUUAAAAAAAAAUGAAAAUUAGUAUUCUUAUUAAAAAAAAAAUAGGGGGAUAACUUAAUUUGACAUUUGAUGAGUAAUUUUUCAAAUUUAAAAACCGUGUGCUUAAAUUUGUCGUCCGGUCUUAAUUAAUGCUGGAGUCCCCUCUCUCUCACAGAAACAGGCAGUAAGUUGCAUGGAAUUUGGACGUCUGCUUUCAAAAUAUUAUUCAAUAGAGAUAGGAUAAAUUACAAGUUGCUGUGCGUUGAUUAUACGAGUGUGUGUGUGUGUGUGUGUGUGUGUGUGUGUGUGUGUGUGUGUGUGUAGUGCAGCCGUGUGUGUGUGUGUGCAGCCGGCUCAAUUGUAUACUUUAUUGUAAUAAUAUUUUACUCAUAUAUAUUAAUUAAUUAAGCCACAUUUAAUUAAGUCCUUAUCGUUGCCCGACUGGAUACUGUUGUCGCGGUACCAGAGGGUCCAGAUUCCAGUUUUCAUGCAUAGUGCAUCUCCUGCCUCCUCCAAUACCUUCUUGAUGCCUUUAUUUAUUUAUUCUAAUUCGAGACAAUUCUCAAUAUUCUACACCUCUAGGAUUUAAAUCAAAGAAGAUUUAAUUUUUUUUUUUAAGGUUUAAUAAAAUCGGAUAUUUAUUUAAAUGAAGCCAAUACAUUUAUUAACCUGAAUUAAUACAUUAAUUAAAUCCUGAAUUGACUAUUUAAUAUGGUGAUUGUCUAAAAAUUAAAUUGAUUAAAGGGGUGCUCAAUAAAACUAUAUAUGAAUAUAAGUUUAUUUAAGCUAUAUAAAUCUUUUGUUUUAGCCUUUAAUGCAAUAAGACUUUAUAUAUAUAAAAAAAAUAGAACAAAUUAACAAUAAAUUUACGAACUACAAAGAAUAAAUUAGGCAUGCAUAUAAAGAAAUAUAAAACAUCAAACUAGCAUGUGAAUAAAAAAAUAUUAAAAAAUUAAAAAAAUAUAUGAAUAAACUAAAUCACUAUUAUUAAUUUGUUGAAGUGCAUAUAAAAUAAUUACAAUAGAAGGGGGUGAUUAUUUCAAGAGCUGCAAGACAAAUUUUGCCCAUCAAUUGAUGUAUACAAUAGACGUGAACAUGGGAUACAGGAUUCAACAAUGAUGUACUAUUUUGUUUUUAUAUCUCAAAAGUAUUUUUAAAAAAAAUUUAAAAUUUUUUAAUUUUUUAUUUGCUUCAAAUUAAUAUGUUUUUAAUGUUUUCAAAUCAUUUUGAUGUACUGAUGUCAAAAAUAAUUUUAAAAAAAUGAAAAAACAUCAUUAAUAUGUAUUUUGGCAUGAAAAGUUAUUUGAAAAGCAACCGCAAACACACUGCUAAAACGGAGUAGAGGAAAAUAAUUUAGAAAUAUUUUUUUGUAUAUUUUUCAAUAAACUAAUAAAAAUGCCUUUGAAAGAGAAAAGGAGUUCUUAUUUUUCAUAAGUAAAAUAAAAGCUAUGUCUUGGAAGAGAAAAGAAAUUAUUUCUUAUCAAUGUGGGACAAAACUUUAUGUUGCAUUUGAUUUUUGGUCAGCUCUACCCAAGGUUUUUUACAUUAAUUUUUUAUUCAUAUUCUAUAAUUAGUAGUUUUGGACAUUUUAAUAUUCUAUAUUAUAGUAGUCAUGCCAGUAAACAUUUUUCAAGAAAAAUCUUAAAAAUCGAUGCAUUUUACUUUUAAUUAGACUUCAAAUAACAAUGUCUUAAAGUCAAUUUUCUCAACAAUACCCGCUCAAAUCGUCAGCAAAUCUUUAUUGAAAGUUCACAUGAUUUUUGUCAUGAUUAAUUUUCAUUAAAUAAAAUAUUCAAUCCAUUUGAAAAAAAAUAAAUAUACAUCAAACAAAGCAAAUCUACAGUAGAAAAUAAUACACAAAUCAUUCCAGAUAUAUAUAUAUAGUUGACCCGAGAUGUCUUUGACUGUAAAAAAAAAAAAAAACACAAAGCGAGUAUAUCUUGGUGCAGGAAAAAUGACCCAAGAUGUCUUUGAUGACAUUUUUGGUUUAACAUGAAUUUCAUGUCAGUGAAGAGAGGUCUACACCAGAACCAUUAUUUAGUCAUUACUUAUGAACCAUCCCUGCCGUAAUUUAAUAAAUGGAAGUUUUAUUUCAGUUUCUCCUUGCAAGGGACAACAAUUGCCGGCUUAUAAUUUGACUUCAAACUUGUCCUUGUUUUGCCCCAAUCACUAUUAAUACUGCCUGCUAAUAACACCAAAGAUAGAGGUCCAAGAGGAAGGUUGCAGCAAUAAUAUCAGCUAUGGAGGAUCCGAAGAGAAUGGAAGAAGGGUUAGGUCACACUGCACUCGUUGCUAAUAUAGAUGAUGAGAACAUCCAUUUAAGUGAGAAAGAAGGUAAAACUGAUGGUGGAGAUGACAAUGAAAAGGAAGAAAGGAGAGCGGUUCAUGAUCAUCUGGCUAAGCAUGAAGGAGACAGGCAGCCGGUGGUUACCCAGAAGAGCAAGAGGGUUGCGACUUUGGAUGCAUUUAGAGGCCUUACUAUCGUAGUAAGUGCUCUUAAUUCUCAAUUUAUUUACUUCUUUUUAUUACAAAGGAAAGGUUCGAGCCCAGAAACUUAAAAAAAAAAAAAGAGUAAUAUUAAAUAAAUAUAUGCAUGAAAGUUAUGAGUUCGGGCGUGUGUAUGAAAUGAGGGUAAUUUUUAGCCUUACACAUGGAGGUGUUGCUGUUUGCUUGUAGCUGAUGAUACUGGUCGAUGAUGCCGGAGGAGUAUAUCCCCGCAUCGAUCAUUCGCCAUGGAAUGGAUGCACCUUGGCUGAUUUUGUGAUGCCAUUUUUCCUUUUCAUUGUCGGAGUUGCAAUAGCACUUGCUUUCAAGGUAUAAACUCCUCUUCGUUUCUUCAUCUUUUUAUAUAUAUAUAUUAUAUAGUUUAUCCAUCAAUCUCUAAGCAUAUUCCGACUUUGUUGGCAGCUGUAUGCUCGAAUCUAUAAUAAAUAUUGAAAGUGGUUGAGUGAUUUUGAGAAUUUGACAUAUGGCUAGAAUAUAACUAAGAUUGAUAGGCUUGAUAACUUGGUAUAUGUCACUGUACUUUCGGUGGGGUUUGUUAAAAGAUGUUUGAAAGUAUGGUAAUGGUUGAUUUUUAAAGUGAUUUUUGCUUAAAAAUAUAUUAAAAUAAUGUUUUUUUAUUUUUAAAAAUUUAUUUUUUAUACCUACAAUACUUUUUUAUAAAGAAUUUUAAAAUAAAAUAAAACAUAAUUAAUUAUGAUAAUUAUUAGAAUUAAUUCUCAUUGUAUAAAUCUUUAAUUACCCGGCCGUUAUAAGAAAAACUUGACAGGUUUUUUUUUCUUAAAAACCAGAUGUUUUUUCCCUUGAAAAUAAACUAGUCGGGUAGAUAAAAGUUUAUAUUCAGAUAACUUAUUCAUUUACUAAAAAAAUAAUUAUUUUGAACCAAAAAAUCAUUUUACACCCAACACAAACCCAACCCGGGAGGAGCCACCACGUAUGGUUGAAGUCCACUUAGCCUGUGACAUUUCUCCUCCAAUAGCUUUAGUGUUAUAAAAAUUCAAUUUUAACUCUUUCAAUUUUUCACUAUAUAAACUAUAAAAUAAUUUUAUAAUCUUUCAUUAUUGAAUUCAGGAUUUUGAAUUUAUAAAAAUAUAUCAUUCAAAAACUCUUUAAAUUAAUUUUUUAUUCACUCAUAAUUAUUUUAAACAUGCUUCAUGUUAAUUUAUUUUUAUUAAAAAAUAAUUUUCAACAAAAUAUAAACCAAAAAAGUGAGUAGAACUAGCAACAUAUUCAUUUUUUUCUCGUCUGAAACAUAUAUUGAAUAAAACUUUGUGUGAUAUGAUUAGUUAAAGAUAAAAAUAAGAUUCAAUUUUACUUAAUAAAUUUUAGUACUUAUUUCCAUCAAGUGAAUUAAGAAAUAAAUACCAUAUAGAAUUCAAACAACUUAAGUUCAUCACUUUGGACUCUAUACAAUAAAAGCAAAUACGAGAAAUGUGUGAUUAAACCUUUCAAAUAUUUCUCUUCAUGUUUCAGUAAGAUUUUUAUUUUAUUUUUUGUAUAUUGUUUUUUUAAUAAAAAAUAACGAUCAAAAUUAUAAUAUACUAUAUUGGUGGUUCACACCAUGUCGCAAGCUAGAUCAAUUUUUUUUCUAGCAAAAAACAAAUUGCUUAAGCGAUGGUAACAUUUUUAAAGAAGCAAGAAAGAUCUGAGAAUCGGGUCUCGAUUUAACUAGAUCCUAUAAGCUCAGUUAUAUUUAUAAUAUAAUAAUAAUAAGACAACGGCAAUAGAUAAAUCGAAUAAAAAAAUUUAGCAAUAAUUAACUAUAAAAAAAUUGCUAAUAUCAUAAAAAGAUAUCCUCUCAAUAUUUUUAAAAUAGCUUCAUGAUCUUAUUUGAUAACAAAACAAAAAUUAAAUGAGAAUGGAAUAACUUCACAAAAUAAAAAGAAAAAAAAAUGAAACUCGAAUCUUAGCAAAUCAAAUGUUGAAGAACGAAAUUGAGAAAAUAAAUCUAAAAAGAACAAAAAAAUAACCCGAGUCGACCCAAGUUAACUCAUCAAAUCCACAACUUGUCUGUGGCACUAGGAUAAUCCUAUAGAAAGCAAAUUAAAUGAAAUAUCAAACCAACACAAUGUUGAAGAGAGAAAUUUAAAAUAAGUUUAAAUUUAAAAAAAAAACUCGAGUCAACCAGAUUUAAUAUGUCAAACCCGUAACCUAGCACAUGAGAUUGGGAAAACCCCAUAGAAAAGAGAAACAAAAGAGAAACAAAUAAUGAAGCCCAGUCUUCAAUAAGCCUGAUAUCAAAGGAUGUAAUUGUAAAAAAAAAAAAAUCAAUUGUAAAAAAGGAUCUAAAAAAAGUUAAGUCAACCCGGACUAACCUUCUAAACCCUUUACCUAGGUCUUGAGGUCGGGAUUAUUUCAUAAAAAGCAAACUUGAAAAAAUCAUGAAACCAAAUAAGAUAUCAUGAAAUAAGCAUCUCAUGCUUAUAUUUAAUCAAUUAAUUUAAUUUAAUUCAAAAACAAAAUCUAAAAGAAGCUAAAUUUAACAAAGAGCGAGAAAUAAAAUUUGCAAAAAAAAUCCUAUAUAAAGCAAAGUAAAUGAGUGUUGAAGGAUGAAACUUGGAAAACAAAAAGAGCUUUAAAAAAAGAGGAAAAACCAAGUAAACCCAACUAAAUCUUCUAAACCUAGACUAAUUUUUUAAACUUACAACCCGUGAAAUCUUAAACCCGAGUUCAAUUAAAAAAACUCAAUUCUCAACCAAUUUAAUGUUGAAGGAUGAUAUUGGAAAAAAAUCAAUUAAUUUUUUUUUUCAAAAUAAAAAAAAUAGCAAUCAAAAGAAUGAGAAUCAAAUAUGAUAGGAAAAAAACUAAAGAAGGAUAAAAUAAUAAAAAUAAUAAUUUUAAAAAUCAUCUAAAAAAAAAAACAAAUAGCAAUCAAAAGAAUGGGAACCAAACAUUAUAGAUGUAAAGAUUAAGGGGGUGAAAUUGAAAAAAAAAAUCUAAUUUUAUAAACUAUUCAAAUAUAAUAAAUAAUAAUCAAAAGAACAAGGACCAAAUCUGAAAGAGAAAAAUAAAGUGCUGCUCUGAAAAAUUGGAGGGUCGGAAGUAAAAAUCAAUGUGGAGAGAGAAGAAUAGGAAAAAAAAGGUUGUUAGUGCCAAACCAAAGGUUAAUAAGUUACACGCACCGCUUAGGGAGAAAAGGUUCACCGAGAGAAUUCCAAAAACAUCAAUGAAUGUCUUUUUUUCAUUGUAAUCCGCUGCACUUGUUGCUUGAAUGUACCAAACGCGCUAGUGCACCAGCUAGUUUUGGUUUUUUAAUCAUAUUUUAUAUUUAUUAAAAUAUUAAGUUUUUCCUUAUUCAACUUGAUUAUAAUUAAAAAAUUAGAAUGAAAAUACAAAAGAAUCCUAAGAUGUCUAUUAAACAAAAAAUGCUUUUAGGACAAAUUAAUCAUUUCACUGUAUUUUUAAAAUGUGAAAAGUUCUACUUUUCUUAGAUCAAUAUGAUAAUGAAUAAUGAAUUUUUUGGAAAGAUCACAUUACCCCGAAUAGGUAGUUCAUUGAAUGUUUUUUUUUUGGAUUGGUCAAAAUGCUAAUUACAUUGUUCCAAUUGCCUAUAAUAUAAACGACAUGUCUUUUUUAUUAUAAAUCCCUUUAUUGUUCACUCUCUCACGAUUAACUAUGGAUUAUAAUGGUGCUUUUUUAAAAUUUUCAUUUUGAUCCUCAAACUUUAACUCUGCACAAUUGAGCUCUUUUGAGCACCCAAUUGCAUUUAUUUUUUUUGUAAAGGAGGGUUAAAUUGAAAGGUAUAGGACUGAAGUGAAAAACUUGGGUAACAUAGGUGAUUUUUUAAAAUUUAUUUGAAAAGUACAUUUUAGCCCCACAUCUUUUUAAUCUAUUAGUUGAUUAGUUCCUUUAAUUUCAAAAAACUUAAUUUCGCUACCAAACUUUAUGUUUAUAAUUUUUCAGUCCUUUUUUGAUAUGAGAAGAGAGAGGCUCGUCGGAUUUCAUUCUAGAAAGAGAAAGUUGUUAGUCCAAUAAUUUCAGCCACCAAAAUGGUUGAUUUUUCUUCCAAAUGGUUCCAUAUGAUAAGAUAAGUUCAAAUUAGGUGUCUUUGGACGUUGAAAGUGCACGAAAAAAGAGAUCCGGGCUCAGGAAUUGUUUUCUAGUUGAUUUUGAGUUGUGAUGCGGUUUAUUUUGUUUUUAGAGGUUAUGGAUUUAUUUAACAAGGUUCCUAUGAUAUUUUCUAGGUGUUUUAAGUCAAAAACAAGUUGGAAACGGGGUUCUAAAAGAAAAACUCACCAACUUCGUUUUGUAGCCACCACAGUAGCUAGAUUCUGGGGGAUUUCAGACAACACAUCAUCUAUUGUUUUUCCAUUAAUUUCAGAAGAAAAAAAAUAAGGCCCGCGAGCAGGCACUUUCUUUGUGGGUCAUGUGUUAGGUCUAUCUUACCAGACCAAUAACAUCUGGCUUCAAUCUUUUUAAUUUUUAUAAUUUUUUCUAAAUUACUGCUUUUUUAUAUGCAUUUUUAAAAAUAUUUUUUUCAGUUAUGUUUUGGUUAAUACCCUUUCUAUGUAAUUUUUUUUUUUUUGCUUAUUUAGCGUUUUUGAAAUAGUGAUUAUUUUUUAUUAUUUUGAGUGUGUUUGAUUUUUUUUAUAAGAAUAGUAUGAUUCAUCUAUAGUUUUUUUAUAUUUUAUAUAGAUUAAAUUUAUUUUUAAAAUUAAAAAAAAAUUAUUUUUUUGCAAUAUGUUUAAUAUGUGCAGUCUUGCAUAAUUUUUUUUAUUUUUUUUAUUCAAUAAAUUAUAUGUAUGUGUUGAUUUCUAUUACAGAUUGAUUUUCAUAAAUAAAUUCAUUGAAUAAAUAACCCGUAUUGUGAUAUUAAAUAUCUUAAGCUACUUUUAAUUUUUAAUUUUUCCAGAUUUUGUUUUUGUUGUUAUUAACUAUGGAAUUAAAAAAAAAAAAGACAAAUUACAAUCCCUGACAGCGCAAGUAAAAUAUAUAUAUAUAUAUAUAUAUAUAGUAAAUCCUCUCACAGAGAUCAUAUUUUUAUCUCCCCAAUUAGCUUUUGUUAAUCAUCACAACUUCACCAAAAAAAAUUUAAACAUGACAACCACUUCAGAUUCCAGUUCUAAUAGUUUGCUUCGUAAAUAACAUUUCAAUCGAUUAGAAAAAUAUUUUACUGCUAUAUUUUACUUAGAGAUACUAUGAAAUUGUAAGCAUCUUGUCUAAUAUUCGUAUAAAUUCUUUAUCUUAAUAUUUCAGAGAAUUCCGAAGAGGAGAGAUGCAGUUAAGAAGAUAAUCCUAAGGACACUGAAGCUUCUGUUUUGGGGAGUUCUGUUGCAAGGUAUGGUACUUAGGUUGUUUUCUAACAUACUAAGGUUUUGAGUUGAAAUGGUUUUUUGAUAUUAUAUCUAACAGAUUAGGUUUAUAAAUUGGAAUAAUUCUUUAAUACAAGUGCAGGAGGAUAUUCGCAUGCUCCUAGUGAUCUAGCUUAUGGAGUCGACAUGAAACUUAUUCGCUGGUUUGGCAUUCUUCAGGUUAUGUUUUCCCUAUUUAACUUCGUUACUAGAAGAUUUAGCAAAUAAAUACAUAAUCUCUAUUUCCUUUGUCUGUGAGCAGAGGAUAGCGUUGGUGUACAUGGUUGUAGCUCUAAUAGAGGCUCUAAUCCCCAAGAAUAGACAAACCAUAGAGCCUGACCAUUUUACCAUUUUCACAGCAUACCGAUGGCAAUGGUAAGAGAACAACCACACAUAGGUUAUGGCAGAGAACAACAUCAUUUGCUAUUUUUCCGUUUCAGUUCAGCCAACUUUUGACUGCAUUGAGUGAAAUUAUGUGGUAGAUAACUAUUUAUUGUAAGUUGAUGGUGAACCUUGUGCAAUUUAGGAUUGCGGGAUUCAUUUCCUUUGUCAUUUAUAUGGUCACAACCUUUGCACUUUAUGUUCCGGACUGGAGUUUCACCGUCGACGAAGACCAUGAACGACGCAGAUACACGGUAUGAAGUUAUUAACUACUAAACAGAUCAAUGGAAGAAGAUGUGCACCGGCUUUUGUUAACGAAAACCAGUCUCUGAUCCCGACUAGUUAUGACUUGAUUACAGGUUGAAUGUGGAAUGAGAGGGCAUUUAGGACCUGCAUGCAAUGCUGUUGGUUAUGUGGAUCGAGAAGUCUGGGGCAUUAAUCAUCUCUAUCAGUACCCAGUUUGGAGCCGCUUGAAGGUUAGUUAUGACUCGAGCAGAGUUUAGCUUCAAUAGGAGGUUUCGUCUCUCUUUUUUCCUGCUUCCAGCUUGUAGUAUCGUAGAUGUGUACUCUAAAAGUCCAUCUUCUUUACAAUAUUUGCAGGCUUGCACUCUCAGCUCUCCAGGUUCUGGCCCAUUUCGGAAGGAUGCUCCUAGUUGGUGCCGUGCACCAUUUGAACCUGAAGGCUUGUUGAGGUUAGAUCAUUAAGACCAUGAUCAACUUCAUGUUAUUUCAGAUAGGGAAACAAUUAGCGUAGAACUGAAUAUUGGUUUCUCUCUUUCUCUUAGUUCUAUCUCUGCUAUCCUCUCUGGCACCAUCGGCAUCCAUUACGGGCAUGUUCUGAUUCAUUUCAAGGUAAGAAGUUCUACUUUUGAUAAGGUAAUUAUCAAGCCUAUAACCUGGAAAAGCAAUCUUACUAUAUGCAGGGUCAUGCUGAAAGGCUCAGGCAAUGGGUCUCAAUGGGGGUUAUCUUACUGAUUGUAGCCAUCAUUCUUCAUUUCACUGAUGGUGAGAUCAAUUACCUUGCGAUUGUAUCCCAAACUCUGAAAAAUUAUCUGUGUGGGAUUUAAAAAUGUUGAUAUAAAGAUCAAAACAGAACUUAGAAAGUUAAUUCCUUCAUUGCUGUGCAGCUAUUCCUAUCAACAAACAGCUCUACAGCUUCAGCUACGUCUGUUUCACAGCUGGUGCUGCAGGAAUUGUAUUCUCUGGAUUCUAUGUACUGGUAAAAUACUACCGACCAUAUACAGUUUUGGGAUUUCAAUUCUGUGAUUCAAGAAUGACAGGCCCAUCACUUUGUUUGCAUUGCAUGAACAGAUUGAUGUUUGGGGAUUGAGACCGCCAUUUUUAUUCCUAGAGUGGAUAGGAAUGAAUGCAAUGCUUGUAUAUGUGAUGGCAGCACAGGGUAUCUUUGAAGGUUUUAUUAAUGGAUGGUAUUACAAGUCUCCAGACAACACACUUGUAAGUAAUUCUAUCUCUGUAUAUGGCUUGCUUGAGCACUCAAACAAUCACUAGCACAAUUUUAACUUCUUGAAAUACCACCUGCCCUAAUGGAAGAAAAAAUGUCUUACAGGUCUAUUGGAUCCAAGAACAUGUUUUCAACGAUGUAUGGCACUCAGAGAGGGUAGGAACCCUGUUGUAUGUGAUAUUUGCACAAAUCGCAUUCUGGGCAGUAGUUUCAGGCGUCUUGCACAAAUUGGGCAUAUACUGGAAGCUCUGAGAAGCCGAAUUUACUUCUGGAAAUAGGAAGUUUGAUACACUUUUCAGAUUCACACAUGUAAUUCAAAUCUUCAAAGUUUGUUUGUUUAUGGUUUUUUUCCCAUUAAUAUUGUGCCAAAUUGGGUUUGUUUGAGUGAAAAUUGUAGCACUUUCAAUCUCCAACUUUUCUACUUGUGGUCUUCUUGUAUAGGUAGGUACUGUAUAAUUCUCCACAUUGCGGCAGGAUAAAAAAAAUUUAUAUGUAAAGAAAUAAUAUCUAAAUUAAGAAAAAAUCUUUGUAAUUAUCAUCAAACUAUGUCAUGAUCUAAUUAAUUUGACUAGUUACUAGUUACAAAAAAACUUGAAUAAAAAUUUUAAAAAAUAAAUUUCAAGAUAAUAUUUUUUUUAAAAAAAAUAUUAAAACAAUUAAUAGAUUAGAUUGAGCCAAAUUAACUUAUAUUAACUCGUCAAACUUAUAAUUUGAAUCAUAAAAUUCAUUAAGUUUAAUAACUUUGAUUCUUUAAAAACUAUAUUUAUUUAAUUAUAUGAUAAAAAAUAGACGUUUUCAAAACCGAGCAUUAAUUCAAUACCGAGAUGUUUUUUUUAAAUCACGAUAACUCCAUAAAAAAUAAAUCAUGAAGCCUAAUUCUCAAUAAUUAUAUAUUUUUAUGGAAUUAUUUUUUAUUUAAUAAUAUAAUAAAAAAAUAGAUGCACAAAAAACAAAGCAUCAAUCCAAUACUGGUAUGUUUUUUUAAGAUCGUAAUAACUUUAUAGAAAGUGAAUCAAAAUAAAUUAUAAAACUCACAAUUCAUAAUAAUUACUUUUUUUCUAAAGAAUUUUUUAUUUAACAAUAUAAUAGAUAACUUUUCAUCUAAUAAUAUGAUAGGAAAAAAAAACAAUUAUAAAAUUUAAACAUCAACCCAAUAAUAAAAAAAAAAUUAGAUCAUGAUAACCUUCAAUUAAUUCUUGUUAAAUAAUAACCACCAAAAUUGAUAUUAUAAAUUUUAGAAGUCGCUACUUUAUUUUUCAAAAAACAAAAACAAAAUAAGAUUUCACUAAUCGUGGGAGUGCUAAACGGGACACAAGAAACGAUAACGCUUCAAUGUCUCACACGGCCACUCCUUAAGCAGUCCUCAUAGACACAAACGGUGCAAUGCAGCCUACCCAAUCCAAAUGGUGCAGGAUCACUUUCAAUUGGUUGGAAACUGCAACACUGUGAGCUGUGGUCGUAUCUUGCCAUGCAUUCCAAUUGUCAAACAGAACAUGCAUGUUGCUUCUGCCAGUUUAGGCUCCCUGUUCCGGACUUGCUAGUUCACCAUUCCACUAAAGGGUGCACAUAUAAGAUGGUGACAGGUGAUUCACAACUCCAAACUUCUUGGGACAUGACGGAUUCCCUAAAACGUCAGUGUUCCUCUAUUUCGUUUCCUUCCACACUUCUUCCCGAUUUUGCUCAGUUAAAUCCUCUUCAAAGUUCGAAGUUCUUCAAAGCUUAGAGCUUCUAUAAAGGUUAUCGAAUUUUCCCAUCAAUCAAAACAGUCUACUUAAUAGAUCCUCUGGCAGUUGCUAUUUAUCUAAUUUCUGAAAUCAAGUUGAUCGUAAGAGGUUAAACCCACGCAUGCAAUUUCCUCUUUUAACACAAAAGGUGGCUGUUCUGGUAGCGAGAACUUCAAUACAGCACAUGGGGAGGUGAUUUCCGUUUCCUCCUAACCCCGUCAUAUGAUUGUUAAAAAAAACUAAAUACAAAUCUAAUGCCCGAGAAAUGCUGAUUAUGUAGCACGUUGAUAAAUCAUCCAACUUGAAUAGUAUCUUCUGAAAGUUUUGUUGUAUAUAUAUUCUGUGUAGAGCUAUGGAAAAAUUCACCAUCCAAACCCUUAAAAAGGAAUAUAAUUAUCUAAACUGGGUCAACACAAGGCUUCACCUGGAUCAAUAUAAGAUAAGUCUAUAAAAAACUGCAGUUGUCAAUGCAACAAAAAAUAGUUUACAGUCACACAAAUUGCCAAGUUGAUGUUCAUUCCAAAUUCAAACUUUUGACGCUGCAGUAGCUUGAGGAAAUCUCAGUUACAAACAUUAUUGAGAGAGAGAGAGAGUAGCAUGAGAAUACUUUAUAUCUAACAGAGACCUUAGGUUGCAUUAAGAAAAACCUCAAGAGCUGAUGUUCACGCACAUAAAAGCAGUUCCAAAUUCACUCCUGCUUUCCAUCUCCUACUGCCACAGGUUUCGCAACAGGUUCACCUUCCGCUUCCAUCUGCUACAACAUGUAAGACCCUAGUUUAAAUUUUACUGUUGAAAGCAGAAUACCCACCAAAACAAGCAAGAAAAAUCACACCCUAAACAGCCACGCCCACACCUAGCCAUCCAACCACAAUCAUUUUUCCAGGGCAAGCGCAAGGAUAGCAAUAAAGUUAAAAGUAAUCAUCUAUUGCAAAAUAACAAGCAACAAUAGGAGUAAUCUAGCGAAUUAGCAUGGAAAAAGAACACCAAAAACUUGGUAUCGUAAUUUCUUACACAAUUCUCAAAUUACAGAUGAUAAUAAGUGAAUUUAGAAAAGAAGUGGACUGACUUUGUUAGUAGUGUUAAUACUGGAAGCAGGGGGCUUAUAAGGACACGCUGGAGGAGCUCUCUCUGGUUUCCUGUAUUCCCA